GGUUAGCGGAUCUUAGCCUUGUCUGUGAAUCAAUGCAACUUCAUCUAUUGGAAGAAAAUGAUCGCAAUCGUUUACUGGGCCCAUACAAGAAAGUUCAACAGUGGAUUGAAGAUA